AAGAUACUCCCUCCGUCCGGAAAUACUUGUCCUAGAAAUGGAUUAAAUGGAAUCUAGACUUAUUUUAGUUACAUCCAUUUUAUCCAUUUCUAGGACAAGUAUUUUCGAAUGGAGAGAGUAUAUG
rfam:Triticum urartu cultivar G1812 contig208213, whole genome shotgun sequence.